rnacentral:tRNA from 1 species
UCCCUGAUGGUUCAGUGGUUAAGACUCUGUGCUUUCACUGCGGAGGGCCAGGGUUUGAUCCCUGGUUGGGGAA